CGCACCGGUGGUCUAGUGGUUAGAAUGUCCGCCUCUGAUGCGGAAGGUCGUGGGUUCGAUCCACGGUCGAGUAA